rnacentral:misc_RNA from 1 species
AAAGUCGUAACAAGGUCUCCGUUGGUGAACCAGCGGAGGGAUCAUUACAGAGUUGAAAAACUCCCAAACCCUUGUGAAUAUACCCGUUAACGUUGCUUCGGCGGGCGGCCCCAGGGCGGGGCCGCAGCCUCUUCGCGAGGCGCCCGCCGGAGGUAUCUAAACUCUUUGUAUUAUUUUGUUAUCUCUGAGUUGUCUUUAAAUAAGUCAAAACUUUCAACAACGGAUCUCUUGGUUCUG